rnacentral:rRNA from 1 species
GACGAACGCUGGCGGCGUGCUUAACACAUGCAAGUCGAACGGUGAAAGGGAGCUUGCUCCCUGGAUCAGUGGCGAACGGGUGAGUAACACGUGGGCAACCUGCCCCAGACUUCGGGAUAACGCUUCGAAAGAGGUGCUAAUACCGGAUACGAACUCCUUGGGCAUCCUUGGAGUUGGAAAGUUUUUCGGUCUGGGAUGGGCCCGCGGCCUAUCAGCUUGUUGGUGAGGUAACGGCUCACCAAGGCGACGACGGGUAGCCGGCCUGAGAGGGCGACCGGCCACACUGGGACUGAGACACGGCCCAGACUCCUACGGGAGGCAGCAGUGGGGAAUAUUGCGCAAUGGGCGAGAGCCUGACGCAGCAACGCCGCGUGAGGGAUGACGGCCUUCGGGUUGUAAACCUCUUUCAGCAGGGAAGAAGCGAAAGUGACGGUACCUGCAGAAGAAGCACCGGCUAACUACGUGCCAGCAGCCGCAGUAA